rnacentral:miRNA from 1 species
AGCUGUUCUGACUUGAUGUACU